UUUAUUAUUUUAUAUCUAAAAUAUAAAUACCCAUGUUUCCUUAUUUCCUUGCAAACCCUAGAUCUGAUUCCUCACAUGACGCCACCUCUCUAACUCGCCAAUGCUCCAUCGAUCUGAUUCCUCCUCCAUCGAUCUGAAUCCUCACUUCACUCGUUCAAAUUUCAUCGAUCUAGUCUCCAUGACACCAUGGCUUCAUCGAUCUAGUUUUCAAUCGUUCAAACUUCACGAAUUUUGGUCCAUAGAUUCGGGUAUGACGACUACCCUCUUUACUCUUGUUUACACGAUUUGUUUACAUGAUAAUUGGCUAAUCGCUCCAUAGAAUCUGGUUGAGUUUACAUGUUGGAAGACGAUUUGUUUUUCGAUUUCUCCACAUGAUUUGUUACAUGCCACACAGUUACUGAGUUACAAGUUACAACCCACAUGCCACAACCUACAGGUUUUUGUUUACCUUGGAAGUUGGGAAGAAUCGAAGAUGGAUUGGAAUUUGGGUUAAUCUCAUUUGGAAGAUUAUAUCUUUAGUUUGGAACAAUGAAUUAUGUUUAUUAUUAUGUUCUAAUUUUGAAGCUACAAAUUGUGUUUA